UACAGAGGGGGCAAGCGUUGUUCGGAAUUACUGGGCGUAAAGGGCGCGUAGGCGGCCUUCUAAGUCGAACGUGAAAUCCCCGGGCUCAACCCGGGAACUGCGUCCGAUACUGGAAGGCUUGAAUCCGGGAGAGGGAUGCGGAAUUCCAGGUGUAGCGGUGAAAUGCGUAGAUAUCUGGAGGAACACCGGUGGCGAAGGCGGCAUCCUGGACCGGCAUUGACGCUGAGGCGCGAAAGCAUGGGGAGCGAACGAGG
rnacentral:rRNA from 1 species